rnacentral:rRNA from 1 species
CGGUUCCUACGGGAGGCAGCAGUGGGGAAUAUUGCACAAUGGGGGAAACCCUGAUGCAGCGACGCCGCGUGAGUGAAGAAGUAUUUCGGUAUGUAAAGCUCUAUCAGCAGGGAAGAAAAUGAAGGUACCUGACUAAGAAGCCCCGGCUAACUACGUGCCAGCAGCCGCGGUAAUACGUAGGGGGCAAGCGUUAUCCGGAUUUACUGGGUGUAAAGGGAGCGUAGACGGCGGAACAAGUCAGAAGAGAAAACCCGGG